AACGAACGCUGGCGGCAUGCCUAACACAUGCAAGUCGAACGAGACCUUCGGGUCUAGUGGCGCACGGGUGCGUAACGCGUGGGAACAUGCACUUAGGUUCGGAAUAACUCCCCGACAGGGGUGCUAAUACCGGAUAAUGUCUUCGGACCAAAGAUUUAUCGCCUUUGUAUGGGCCCGCGUUGGAUUAGCUAGUUGGUAGGGUAAAAGCCUACCAAGGCGACGAUCCAUAGCUGGUCUGAGAGGAUGAUCAGCCACACUGGGACUGAGACACGGCCCAGACUCCUACGGGAGGCAGCAGUGGGGAAUAGUGGACAAUGGGCGAAAGCCUGAUCCAGCUAUGCCGCGUGAGUGAUGAAGGCCUUAGGGUUGUAAAGCUCUUUUACCCGGGAUGAUAAUGACGGUACCGGGAGAAUAAGCCCCGGCUAACUCCGUG
rnacentral:rRNA from 1 species